rnacentral:rRNA from 1 species
UACGAAGGGGGCAAGCGUUAAUCGGAAUUACUGGGCGUAAAGCGUGCGCAGGCGGUUUUGUAAGUCUGAUGUGAAAUCCCCGGGCUCAACCUGGGAAUGGCAUUUGUGACUGGAAGGCUAGAGUGUGUCAGAGGGGGGUAGAAUUCCACGUGUAGCAGUGAAAUGCGUAGAGAUGUGGAGGAACACCGAUGGCGAAGGCAGCCCCCUGGGUCAAGAUUGACGCUCAUGCACGAAAGCGUGGGGAGCAAACAGG